AAAUUAAAGGUUGAAAACGUUUAGAUUUGAUUUGAUGGAGAAAAUUGUGUCAAUUUUAAUUAAACAUGGUGGCAAAUGGAAUUCAUCAGGAAAAUACGUCGACUUUGAGUUGGAGGGCAUCCUAUAUGAUACAUCUACUCUUUAUAUUGGUUUAGUUAAUGCUAUAGUAUCUCAACUUAAUAUAGAAGAAAAUAUAAAUUCUGUUGAGAUAAAAUAUAUUACAGCCUCAAGAAUUUCAGAGAUGCUUAUGCCAUUCCUGUCGAGCCUAUCCCGUGCGAGAGUACAUGGGAUAUACCAAGUUAUAUUUCAGAGCCUAAAAUGAUGCCACCCGGUCCAAAAAGAUCAGCGGGAAGACCCAAAUUUGAACGCUGGAAGGGGUUCGCUGAUGUGAAAUUCAAGAGGACAAAAAGCACAUGCAGUAGAUGCCAUCAAGUUGGACACAAUAGGAAGACAUGUUCAAAUUAUCCUGUACAAAAACAAUGAUUUCCUACUGUUACAUCUGUGUUUUUGAGUAUUUACAUUGUUAUAACAUUAUUUUUUUUAUUGAAUCAUAUUACUUUUCAUAAAAA